rnacentral:sRNA from 1 species
AAUGCAACACAAUCACAUGCAUUGGAGAUGACGAGAAGGACGAAGAUGAGAGAAUUGGGCUAUACACAACUGUAACCAGACGCAUCAGCAACGUUUGAAAGAAUUGACUAGCUCUACGAUUUUGGACCCUACUUGAGCUAUUAUACACAGGGCUGGAUUCCGGACUCCAUUUCCGGCAUCCAGUUUUGGUCCAUGUACAGGCCACCAGCUAUCAGAAUUCCUGGCAGGAGAUGGGGAAUGCACAGACACUUGACAGAAGCAGCGCAAGAGUGGCUUCGAAACUCUCACGCCUUCCUGCCCCUUCCAACGGAGCAGCUUGACAUUCACAUUUUAUAUGGAUCAGGUUAGAUGAAUUUGGAUAACCAACCUUUAGAAUGCAAAAGAUGACAGUUUGCAAGAAAAGAAGCAUGCCGCCCAAUUAGCAGUUCUGCUGUUCUUAGUCCUGCUGCAGACUAUAGGAUACCUCAAAUUUGUACUUGUUGGCAUCCUUAUGUCAGCCCGACGUUUGUUCCGAAAUGUUGUUUGGUGUGAAUUGUGCACGAGCAGGGAUCAAGAGCUGUUGCUGAGGGCGUGGAGCUCCUGAUAUUGUUGCUGAACUGUUGACAUGCGUACAACAUUUGCAGCAUUCUGAUUAGAUAGCGGCAGAAUGUGACCUGGUACAUAGCCAGGUGAAUACGGUUGAUCACCUGGCACAGGUUGGCCAAACUGCCCAUAUGGGUAAACUGCUGGGCCUACUGUCCUGGGACCGCCAUAUACUGGAACAUACUGUUGCCCAACAUAUGAACCAUAUGCAUUCUACAGAACUAAAAGUAUAAUAAAUUAGCAAAAGUAAUUGCUAAGAAGGAACACGUAUGUCUGGCCCAGGACGGCCUAGGAUGGCAAGGUUACAGUUUGCGCGGCGCCCGUCGAUCACCGGGUACGGGUCCAUGCACGCCAUUCUCGCCGAGUCUGGGUCCCGGAAGGACUCACGAAUCCGUAGCCCUUGGACCUCCCCGUGGCGCGGUCGGUGAUGACGACGGCCUCGAGGAUCUCCCCGUACGCCUCGAAGUGCGCCCUCAGCCCCUCGCUCCGCGUCUCCCACGCGAGCCCCCCGACGAACACCUUGGUGUACGUCGUGUCCCCGUACGGCCCGCUCAGGUAGUGCAGCGCCGGCGUGCCCCCUCCCCCCGCCGCCGCCGCCGCCGGAGACCGCUGCGGCGUCAUCCCCACCACCACCACCAGCCCACGCGCAUCCACCCCUCCCCACCCCAAACCCUAACCCUAGAAGCAGCAGCAGC